AGUGUUGAAACCGCGUACCUUUGCUUCCACAUACAUGCGCCCCUUCCUUGGCGCUUUGAUCUUGCCCACCUUGGCUUUGAUUGCAUUGAGCAAUCGCAACGAUCCUACCUUGGCUUCCUCUCGGUGGGGCUCUUCCUCGUCAUCUUGGAUGAGGGCCGCUAGCUUUGCUCUUUGCGAGCAAUCCCUAGCAAAGUGAUUUCCGUCGUAUAAGAAACAUGAAAGCUUGGGUUUGUCACCAUUCCUCCUGUCUUUGUUGAACCGGCUAUGUCUUGGAGAGGAUGGCUUUUGUUCUCCCUCAUGGUCUCCCCCACCUUGGUCAUGGUUAGCUUUUUGAAAAGAUGAGGACUCACCUUCUUAGAAGUCUACCAAAGACUCUACAAUUGAGAUGGCUGUUGCAAGGUCUUGGGGUCCUCGUCGUUGUACCUCAAGCUUGGCCCAAGAUUGUAGUCCGUCAAUGAAAGUGAGAAGAGACUCCUUCUCGGUUAUAUUCGGAAUUUCUAGCAAAAGCUCGGAGAACUCUUUCACAUAAUCCCGAAUAGUGCUCUUAUGGGAGAGGCGUCGUAAUCUCGCCCUAGCUUCAUGCUCCGAGUUUACUGGAUAGAAUUGCCUCUUGAUUUUCCUUUUGAAAUCUUUUCAAGUGGCUAUGGUGCAUGUUUCACGUUCCAUAUCCGCAUGUCGCCGCCUCCACCAUAGUGUGGCCGCAUCCGAGAGAAAGAGAGAGGCCGUUUUGUUCUUCUUAUUUUCUUCAUUUAUACCGGUGGCCUCAAAAUAUUGAUCCA
rnacentral:lncRNA from 1 species